UACGAAGGGGGCUAGCGUUGUUCGGAAUUACUGGGCGUAAAGCGUAUGCAGGCGGAUCGUUAAGUCGGGGGUGAAAUCCCGAGGCUCAACCUCGGAACUGCCUUCGAUACUGGCGACCUUCGAGUCCGGGAGAGGUGAGUGGAACUCCGAGUGUAGAGGUGAAAUUCGUAGAUAUUCGGAAGAACACCCGUGGCGAAGGCGGCUCUCUGGGACGGUACUGACGCUGAGACGCGAAAGCGUGGGGAGCGAACAGG
rnacentral:rRNA from 1 species